rnacentral:rRNA from 1 species
AAUCCAUAGGUUAAUGAGGCGAACCGGGGGAACUGAAACAUCUAAGUACCCCGAGGAAAAGAAAUCAACCGAGAUUCCCCCAGUAGCGGCGAGCGAACGGGGAGGAGCCCAGAGCCUGAAUCAGCAUGUGUGUUAGUGGAAGCGUCUGGAAAGGCGCGCGAUACAGGGUGACAGCCCCGUACACAAAAGCGCAUGUGCUGUGAGCUCGAUGAGUAGGGCGGGACACGUGGUAUCCUGUCUGAAUAUGGGGGGACCAUCCUCCAAGGCUAAAUACUCCUGACUGACCGAUAGUGAACCAGUACCGUGAGGGAAAGGCGAAAAGAACCCCGGCGAGGGGAGUGAAAAAG